AAACAUGUUUGUUGAAGAUAUAAUCGGUCUGGCCUGCUCACUGACAAAAAAAUUGUUUAAGAGCCGCGGUAUUUUGACGGUGCAAAGGUAGCAUAAUCAUUAGUUUCUUAAUUAGGAACUUGUAUGAAGGGUCGAACAAAAGAAAAGCUGUCUCUGCUGUAAAGAUUGAACUUAACCUUUAAGUGAAAAGGCUUAAAUAUUUCAGGGGGACAAUAAGACCCUAUAAAGUUUGACUGAAUUACUAAAAAUAAGCAUCUAACUAAAUUAUUAUGUUUUAUUGGGGCGAUAUGGGUAUAAGUUAAAUUAACUGCUUGAAUAAUAUACAAUAAUAAGUGAGAAAAGUAGAAGAUCCUUUUUAGAGAUUAAAAGGCUAAGUUACUUUAGGGAUAACAGCGUUAUUUCUUUUGAGAGUUCCUAUUGAAAAAGAAGUUUGCGACUUCAGUGUUGAAUUGAAAUGUCUGUAUAGUGCAGCCGCUAUAAGAGAGGGUCUGUUUGACCUUUAAAAUUUUACAUGA
rnacentral:rRNA from 1 species